rnacentral:rRNA from 1 species
AUGCAAGUUCGAACGAAUCCCGGGGGGCAACCCCCGGGGGAAGUGGCGAAAGGGGCAGUAAGGCGUGGGUAACCUACCCCGGGGACCGGGAUAGCCCCCCUAACGGGGGGGUAAUACCGGGCGAUCUGCCGGGGCCGCAUGGCCCGGGCAGGAAACGAACCUCGCCUCGGGAGGGGCUCACGUGAUAUUAGCUCGUUGGCGGGGUAACGGCCCACCAAGGCUAAGAUGUCUAGCGGGUGUGAGAGCACGACCCGCGCCACUGGCACUGAGACACUGGCCAGACACCUACGGGUGGCUGCAGUCGAGGAUCUUCGGCAAUGGGCGCAAGCCUGACCGAGCGACGCCGCGUGUGCGAUGAAGGCCUUCGGGUUGUAAAGCACUGUCGAGGGGGAGGAAACCCCGCAAGGGGCUGACCUAUCCCUGGAGGAAGCACGGGCUAAGUUCGUGCCAGCAGCCGCGGUAAGACGAACCGUGCGAACGUUGUUCGGAAUCACUGGGCUUAAAGGGCGCGUAGGCGGAUUCCCAAGCCCGGGGUGAAAGCUUUCGGCUUAACCGGAAAAGGGCCCCGGGGACUGGGGAUCUAGAGGGGGGCAGGG